ensembl:lncRNA
UUUCCUUCUACGUUUUAAUUCCCCUUUCUCUUUAAUUCACUGUUUCUGUACUGAUGCUGCUUAAUUCCCAGAAAGUGUUUUGGGACAUGGUUGAUCAAAAAGUUAGAGGAGAUAAAAUUCAAGCAGUUCUGUAUUUUUUCUUUUGCCCUUCCACUUUACCCUUUCAGUAUAACAUCUGUAAAAACAAAAGUAUUUAUAUAUUUGGUGAUUUAAUUUUUUUUUCAGUCAAAAUAUUCUAAAUUCAUUGUUGAGGUAGAAACAUAUAUGAUGGAUAUAAAAAUGACACUAAAUUUUUCUUUUUAAAACUUACUGUAGUAUUUUAAUUAUAUUAUUAUUUAUACAACAGUCCUCAUGUUUUUUAGACAUUUAAAAUAAAUUUAUGUUAUAGUUAUAACAUUUCUCUGAUGUCAUAUGGAAUGCCUAAAGUACUUUGGGUUUGUAUUUCUUUCUUUUCAAGCAGAAUUUUAUGUACUAAUGCAUUGACUUAUUUACAGACAUGGAAGUUUCAGGAAAAAAAAUUAGAUAUGAGGCUUUGGUCAUUACAAGUUUAAACCUCAGAUAAUCCUCAUCCUCCUUAACUGAAUACUCAAAUUUAAUGGAUUUUAUUUGAAUUUUAUUCUAUGCAUAGAAAUGUGGGGAUUUUUUCCCAUACUUAAAAAAGUAUGCAACAUGACAGGAUGUUGGAAUUAGAUGAUCUGUAAGGUCCUUUCCAAUGCAAAUUAUUCUAUCAUUCUAUGACAAUCCCAAGGAAAAAAAAAAACAGCCUUCUGCCUGAAGUUUUGACACAUAUUCUCCUUCCCUCAAGCCUGACUUAUUUGUAAAAACUUCUAAUAAACAUGAAUCUGACAUUCAGCCUAAUAUGCUGGAAUCAAAAGCUAUUAUUGACUUUGCCAUAUUGAUCAAUGGUGGCCCAAGCACCAUAAUAUAUUAAGGUAUUUCUCUCUAAAUGCAGCUGCUCAGCUGUUCCUUCUCUGCAUUAAAUGAAUGCUCCUCUGACAGGAACUGUUAAAAUGACCUGGUUCAGAGCCUCUUGCUCUGGUGCACUUCCAGAGCCAUGCAAACACCUAAGAAGCAGAUUGCUAUUUCUGUUUGGAUGUGCAUUUCAUGUGGUUCUUUGCUACUCCUGUUUUAUCCCCUCUCAGCAAUGCCUCCCUCCCCUUUCCUGUGGCACAUCUCACCAGCACUUGUGCUUUGCUGCUCUGCUGUGUGCUGUAUUCUCACUGCAUAGACUGGGAACAGAGCCACAGGGAGGCUAAUUGCCUUGUCACACAGAAAGCUUGUGCCUAAGAGGGAGUUUGAAGCCAUUUCUUUGAUAUCAGCAGUGGGUAUAUGAAAUGUUGACUAGUUCCUCUCUCGUUACGUUCCUCAAACCAGCCUUCUACACCCAGCUCUGAAUUACAGCCCCUAGGACAGGAUAUCUUCACCUGCUUGAAGAGUAUGGUAGGACAGCUUUGCCAUGACAUCAGUCUGAGCUCGUAGGAAUAUGGAGAAGGAUUAUCUUAAGCAUAGAGUUGAAUUAUCCUACAGCAAACUAUGUAGUCAUGGUCUUCCCUGUGCUACUUGGAGGUGAUCACCCCAAAAAGUCUGGGAAUGACACCAUAUUUGUCCAAUAAGUAACAGCAACAGCCAUCUGAAAGGUAGUCCUAUGUUUUGUGCUGCUCUGGGAUGGGAUUUGGGUCCAUGAUCUGUCCAGCUAAGGUCCUGGAGAAAGCAACAUUUCAUGAGGCAUACAAGGAUUCAAAAAACACAGAAAAUGUUUCUAUUUCUACUGCUGUCACUUCUUUUGAAGCCAGAAAAAAAAGGGCAACAACUACACAUGCUUAGUGGAAAUAUGCAAUUCAAAAAUGUUUAAAUGCAGGGAUUUCUAAGGAAAAUUUUUCUUCUCUUCUGAACAAAAAUAUGUAAUCUGUACUGAAUAGCCAGUUGCAAAAAGUGUUUCAAUAUUAUCUUUUCACAGGAAAAAAUUAUACAUAAUGCUGAAGAAAAGUGAGAUGAACACAUAAAUGCUGUUUUCAGUGACACAUUUUAUUUUUCUCAGACUGCACUUCUGAAUUAGAAUAGUUCCACUGGAUUUGAUCAGAAGAGAAGCCAAAGAUUAAAGAAAGGCAGAGAGGUUGAGUGAUCUAUCAAGACAGGUCACGAUUUUAAGUGAGACCCAAGAAGGUCAGGAGCAAGGUGUGUACAGGAGCUAACCAGAGGAAGGCUAUCAUUGCUCUUUCCUGAGAGCAAGCCCAGAACCAGCGUUUCCAGAUCUAUAAAUAAACAGCCUUUGGUCAAACUGGAAGAAAACAAAACUGUGCUGUGAAGCAAACAAUGGACACUGGUAUUGAAAUGAAAGGAUAUGGAGAACAUGAGAGCUUUAGGGCAGGUGGCAUCAAACCCUUCCUGAGCAAGUCAAGGGCUCAGUGUCCCCAGAGCAACUCAAAAGAGAGAUCCCCAAAGCAAUCUCUUACAGAGUCUUCUGCAGUAUGUAAAUUUAUUGAAAUACAGUCCUCUUUGCCUACUGGGAGAUGAGUACACUGUGAUCCGUCCUCUCAACCCACACUGACAGAGGCAGCUGACAUUGUGGUUUUGAAGAUUUCCCUUUUGUUUUUACUGCCAGCUCCUGGGAGGGGGCGAGAAAGAGGAAGGGGAAAGAGGAGGGCGUAUAGUGCCUGCGAGUGUGUGUAGGCAGGCCAAGAGAAUCUGUGCCACCAAACACCCAGAUGGCAGGAAAAAAUCACCUUUUACUAACUGGAUCCCUGGCAGAUUUUUAUAGCGUGUGGGUGGGAGAGAGGGCAGGGGCUGUGAGGAGGAUGUAGGAAAGCAGAGCAUGUAAAUGCACAUAUGUUUGCACCAGAAAAAGGGACAGAAGGGCAUACAGUGAAUUAAAAGGCUUUCAUCUGCAUGUACAGAGUGACAGAUCUGCUCAGGAGAGAGGAGCUGAGUUAUGGCAAUGUCCUUCAGGAGCAGAAAUCCAAACACCCAAUAAACCUCUCCGUUGCCCUCCUCUGUUCAGAGACACACAGGAGGACUCUAGCUCCCAGUACCCUUGCAAGCUGUGUUACAGGACAAUUUAAUUCUCCCAAGAUCCCCUGAAAUGGACUUUGAAAAUACUGAAAAGCUGCCUGUCUUGAGCUGAACUUUCUCUUCACCCCUUGAGGUGACACAGUCCAUAUGCAAGUCAAGGUUCAAAUUCUAUGACUUCUUGCUCCUGACCAUGAGGCUGUGCCUCUUUCCACACCUCAUAGCAAUCUGAAUUUCUGAUUUUAGGAAGAAAUGAACCAGUGGAAAUCUUCCAAAACUACUUUUCUGACCUCUCACAUAUCUGCUAUAAAAACUAUAAACCAGGCCAUGGACUGGUUCUUGUGAGCAUGAAUACCUUGCUCACAUGUAGUUGAAUUCUCUCCUCUCAAAAAAUUGAGGACUGAACUUCACUUUCAGGGUUUGGACUGCACCCAUAGUUACCAUUUAUCUGUGCUACCUGAAAUGUUCUAUAAUUUGUGGUUCUUGGCACACAAGCACAACUCAGAGGGGCAAGAAUUUUGGCAGGAGCAGGUGAAGAUUGCUUUGGGAACAUAUGAGAUACACAUAAACAGCUCUGCAAAGAUGCAAUUAAAUAAUUAAAAACAUCCCACAUUAUUUGCAUAUGAGAAUCAGUACUGAUGAUCAUCUUAAAAGUAUCUAAAGACCCUUGAAAUUCUGUUCAUGGUAGGAGGUGUAAUGAAAUUCAUGCCAGAUAACUUAAGGCCAUGACCAUCUCAAUUUGGGGGCGUUGCUUUAAGAUUUGUAAUUGAGCCAGAUCUGUUAAAAGACUGACAAGUAUUUCCAGGGAGAUCUGACCAGACUGAGAAAUAUGUAAGCCUUUUAAUAACAAAAAAAAAAAAAAAAAA